AUUUAAUUCUUUUUUGACUUCUUUUAUUUUUUUGACAUUUCAGGACAUUUUUUCAGAUAUUUAAUUUAUGUUCACAGUUUUUAUUAAUGAACUUUUGAUAAUUCUUUCAUAUUUUUAGAGAUUGUUCUGACAUUUCAUGCAUUUUCUUGCAAUUUUUUGGCUUUUGAUUAAUAUCUUUUGGCCAUCUUGUUCAACAGGUAUUAAUGGCACAUCUCAUCAUUUAUUUUUUUUUUAUUCUAUUAAUAAUAUUACUGUUAAUAACUUUGGGCCAUUUUAAGACAUUUAGUUAAUUUUCAAGAAUUUUAUGUGCGCAAACAUAUAAAUAGUAACAUGAAAACACCCUCCUGUAAAGAUAUAAAACCCGCCCCAUGCUGUGAUGUCAUGAAAACGAAACUUAAGAAAGGGAGACGCUGGAGGAGCCUCUGCUCAGUCUGUAAACUCACACCAAGAUGGGAGUUGAAGGUCUGGAUACCUUCUUAGACGACCACCGGAGCGUUUACCGGGAUGUCGAGUUCAGGAUGAACCGGCUGGUGGUGGACGGAUCCAACCUGAUCCAGCUGUUGUACUACAACUCAGGUCUGGACCAGAAUCACGGCGGGGAGUAUGCUGCCUUUGAGGCCCUGAUUGAAAGGUUCAUAGCAGCACUCAGAACCUGUGAGGUUACUCCAUAUGUGGUUUUGGAUGGAGGAUCAGAUCUCACAGACAAGAAGCUUGAAACCGUGACAAAGAGAAUUGAGUCCCAGAUCAAGAAGGCCCAUCAAGCAGCGGUGAGCGGCGGGGCAAAGAAUAUCCUGCCGCCACUGGCCAAGCUUGUGUUCAAACAGACACUGGCCCGACUGGAGGUUCCAGUGGCCCAGUGCUUCGGAGAGGCUGACCAGGAGAUAGCCGCUCUGGCCUCUGAGUGGAACUGCCCAGUGCUUUCUGGUGACAGCGAUUUCUACAUCUUUGACCUCCCAGCGGGGCUGCUGCCCUUCUGCUACUUCCGAUGGAAGAAUGUGAAGCAGGACGGCUCGCAGAGCUUCAUCUCCUGUAAGACGUACCACAUCUCCAGGUUCUGCAACGUCUUCAAGAUCCAGCAGAAACUCCUGCCCACCUUUGCUGUGCUUGGUGGGAAUGAUUACGUGAAUCUGCAGAGGAUCAGCUGGACUCAGUUCGCCCCAUCAUACAGCAAGACGCCCAACCGCCUGGAGGGACUGCUGUGCUGGCUGAAGGGCUUCCAACAGCCUCAGGAGGCCCUGGAGGCGGUGCUGGAGCUGAUGGGAGAAGUGCGUGAGAACAGCAAGGCAGAGCUGCUGAAGAACCUGUCAGAGGGGAUGGAGGAGUACCAGCUGCCCUCCAGCUCCUUGAAGGGGUUCUUCCUCAGUGGGAUGGUCCCAUUGUUCCCAGCAGUCAAAGAGGAGGUGGGUUCAAUCCAUCAGGUCCCGGACUGGAUUCGUCUACAACUGAGGCAGGCCCGACUGACCCCAGAUGUCCUGGAGGUGUUAUUGCUGAAAAGGAUGAGCCUCAGCAUCAUCAUGGGACACAAAGACCAGCCCAGUGUUAACCUGACCUCCAGGCCGCUCCGCCAGGUGAUGUACGAGCUGCUGCUGGGUGAACAGAGGUCAGUGCCUGUGGAGGAGAGGGACCGAGAGGGGCUAAAGCUGACGUUCAUUCCAGUAAAACCAACCUUCAGCAGGAUUGCUCAGGAGCUCAGACUCAACUCACUGAACGAGGCGAAGCUGUCUGAACGUCUCCAGGUUCUGCUGGAGGCCCUGAGGGUGACCGAGGCCACUCUGAAUAACCUGCCGCCUCAGCUGCGCCUCCCGGUGGCCGUCACCUGCUACUGGCUACGGAGAGCUCAGCCUCCUCCAGACCUGAAGCUGCUGAAUGUGCUGCUGCUGGGAAUGACCAACGAGGACGUAUUGAGAGCCAGAGAAGAUUUGCAGGCUGAACAUCCAAACGGUAAACCAGACCUGGAUGUGGCUCAUGCCUUCAACCAGUGGCAGGUCUGCCUUAGGGACAGCAUCCACCUGAACCAGCUGCUUGGCUUCCCUUUGCCUGAGCCGGAUGUUGCACGGUUGUAUCAGGGGACACUGGUCCACCAGCUGGUUCCCAGGAUGACUACAGGAGGAAGACAGAAGGCCUUCCUGAGGAGUGGCCGGUUCAGCCUGAAGCAGUACCACGCUAUGUUGUCCAUCAUCCAACAGUUUCAUGCCCAGGAGGAGUCCACACCCUCAGAGACCCGGCAGAGAGCAGCAGCACGGCAGCAUCCUCUCAAUGACCUCAUGGACAAUGAGGAAGUCAGCAGCACAGUGCGAGUGCAAGAGGAGCCGGAGCUGGUCGACCAAGUGUCAGUGAGAACUCGCUACAGAACCAAGGAGAGGAGAAACAGGAGCAACAAACCAGAGCUGGUCCGGAAGGAGGAUGAGUGCCGAGGCCAAGACCUCCUCUGAUAAACAGCUCGGCACUGACUGCUCUUUACUCAGCAAGACAUCAGAAAUCCUGUCAGGCCACUCCAGGUUUCAUCUUUCUGCUACUGAAUUUAUUCCUUUACAUGCAUUUCCCACAGGGAUGACAAGAUGAGUUCACGGGAAGUCUUGAGAUGGUACAACAAAACCAAAACGCAAAACUGAAUUCACUCAUUUUCCUAUGCUUUUGUUAAACAGAGGCAAAAUGAGAGUUUACAUGAAAGUACUUCACAUAAGUAAAUGCAAAUUAUUCGGUACAAUGAGUACUUCUACUGUUGAUGCUCAGACCUUUGUACUUUCAGUUAUUGCUGUAAAUUAAUCUAUACAUUUAGGCAAAUUUUCCUUUGUAUUUUUCAGAUUUUUUCCUCAAAUUUUAUAAUCCAGUAAAAUAUAAAUAACAUUACAAAAACGAACCAUAACAUUUUAAAUUUAGUUUUCACAUUUUAUUGUCAAUUUUGACGAAUAUACUCUUUUUAUUUAAUAGAUUAACUGAAUGUGAAAAGCAGUAAUCAAAGCAAAGGGUGGCUAUUUUGAAGAAUCUAAAAUAUGAAACAUGUUUUGACUUACCUCACACUUUGAGUUUACUACAUAAUUCCAUGUGUUCAUUGAUAGUUCUGAUGUCUUCAGGGAGAAUCUACAAUGUAAUUAGUCAUGAAAAUAAAGAAAAAACAUUAAAUGAGAAGGUGUGUCCAAACUUUUGACUGGUGGUGUGUGUUUUAAACUAGGUACAGUUGGUGACAAUUGGCAAAAGAAAACAAAAUAAUUGAUGUGUGUUUGUGGCAUCUUGUAUAUGUGUAGAAAAAUGUUGAAUGUCUUCAGUGUACAGAGUAUGUAUUUGCUAAUUUAUCAAAAUACAGAUAUCAUUCUGUAUAUUAUUUAUCAUUAUCUGUCUCAUUUUAUACAUCCAUCCACACACACACAUAUACGUGUAUGUGUGUGUGUGUGUGUGUGUGUGUGUGUGUGUGUGUGUGUGUGUGUGUGUGUGUGUGUGUGUGUGUGUGUGUGUGUGUGUGUGUGUGUGGACAA